rnacentral:rRNA from 1 species
UACGUAGGGUGCAAGCGUUAAUCGGAAUUACUGGGCGUAAAGCGUGCGCAGGCGGUUUUGUAAGUCCGAUGUGAAAUCCCCGGGCUUAACCUUGGAACUGCGUUUGAAACUACAAGGCUAGAGUGUGACAGAGGGGGGUGGAAUUCCACGUGUAGCAGUGAAAUGCGUAGAGAUGUGGAGGAACACCGAUGGCGAAGGCAGCCCCCUGGGUUAACACUGACGCUCAGGCACGAAAGCGUGGGGAGCAAACAGG